AUUGAACGCUGGCGGCAUGCCUUACACAUGCAAGUCGAACGGCAGCACGGAGCUUGCUCUGGUGGCGAGUGGCGAACGGGUGAGUAAUAUAUCGGAACGUACCCUAGAGUGGGGGAUAACGUAGCGAAAGUUACGCUAAUACCGCAUACGAUCUAAGGAUGAAAGUGGGGGAUUCGCAAGAACCUCAUGCUCGUGGAGCGGCCGAUAUCUGAUUAGCUAGUUGGUAGGGUAAAAGCCUACCAAGGCAUCGAUCAGUAGCUGGUCUGAGAGGACGACCAGCCACACUGGAACUGAGACACGGUCCAGACUCCUACGGGAGGCAGCAGUGGGGAAUUUUGGACAAUGGGCGAAAGCCUGAUCCAGCAAUGCCGCGUGAGUGAAGAAGGCCUUCGGGUUGUAAAGCUCUUUUGUCAGGGAAGAAACGGUGAAAGCUAAUAUCUUUUGCUAAUGACGGUACCUGAAGAAUAAGCACCGGCUAACUACGUGCCAGCAGCCGCGGUAAUACGUAGGGUGCAAGCGUUAAUCGGAAUUACUGGGCGUAAAGCGUGCGCAGGCGGUUUUGUAAGUCUGAUGUGAAAUCCCCGGGCUCAACCUGGGAAUUGCAUUGGAGACUGCAAGGCUAGAAUCUGGCAGAGGGGGGUAGAAUUCCACGUGUAGCAGUGAAAUGCGUAGAUAUGUGGAGGAACACCGAUGGCGAAGGCAGCCCCCUGGGUCAAGAUUGACGCUCAUGCACGAAAGCGUGGGGAGCAAACAGGAUUAGAUACCCUGGUAGUCCACGCCCUAAACGAUGUCUACUAGUUGUCGGGUCGUAAUUGACUUGGUAACGCAGCUAACGCGUGAAGUAGACCGCCUGGGGAGUACGGUCGCAAGAUUAAAACUCAAAGGAAUUGACGGGGACCCGCACAAGCGGUGGAUGAUGUGGAUUAAUUCGAUGCAACGCGAAAAACCUUACCUACCCUUGACAUGGCUGGAAUCCUCGAGAGAUCAGGGAGUGCUCGAAAGAGAACCAGUACACAGGUGCUGCAUGGCUGUCGUCAGCUCGUGUCGUGAGAUGUUGGGUUAAGUCCCGCAACGAGCGCAACCCUUGUCAUUAGUUGCUACGAAAGGGCACUCUAAUGAGACUGCCGGUGACAAACCGGAGGAAGGUGGGGAUGACGUCAAGUCCUCAUGGCCCUUAUGGGUAGGGCUUCACACGUCAUACAAUGGUACAUACAGAGCGCCGCCAACCCGCGAGGGGGAGCUAAUCGCAGAAAGUGUAUCGUAGUCCGGAUUGUAGUCUGCAACUCGACUGCAUGAAGUUGGAAUCGCUAGUAAUCGCGGAUCAGCAUGUCGCGGUGAAUACGUUCCCGGGUCU
rnacentral:rRNA from 1 species